AGCGAACGCUGGCGGCAUGCCUAACACAUGCAAGUCGAAUGAGACCUUCGGGUCUAGUGGCGCACGGGUGCGUAACGCGUGGGAAUCUGCCCUUGGGUUCGGGAUAACAGUUGGAAACGACUGCUAAUACCGGAUGAUGACUUCGGUCCAAAGAUUUAUCGCCCAGGGAUGAGCCCGCGUCGGAUUAGCUAGUUGGUGAGGUAAGAGCUCACCAAGGCGACGAUCCGUAGCUGGUCUGAGAGGAUGAUCAGCCACACUGGGACUGAGACACGGCCCAGACUCCUACGGGAGGCAGAAGUGGGGAAUAUUGGACAAUGGGCGAAAGCCUGAUCCAGCAAUGCCGCGUGAGUGAUGAAGGCCUUAGGGUUGUAAAGCUCUUUUACCCGGGAUGAUAAUGACAGUACCGGGAGAAUAAGCCCCGGCUAACUCCGUG
rnacentral:rRNA from 1 species